AGUGAACGCUGGCGGUAGGCCUAACACAUGCAAGUCGAACGGCAGCACAGUAAGAGCUUGCUCUUACGGGUGGCGAGUGGCGGACGGGUGCGGAAUACAUCGGAAUCUACUUUUUCGUGGGGGAUAACGUAGGGAAACUUACGCUAAUACCGCAUACGACCUACGGGUGAAAGUAGGGGAUCUUCGGACCUUGCGCGAUUGAAUGAGCCGAUGUCGGAUUAGCUAGUUGGCGGGGUAAAGGCCCACCAAGGCGACGAUCCGUAGCUGGUCUGAGAGGAUGAUCAGCCACACUGGAACUGAGACACGGUCCAGACUCCUACGGGAGGCAGCAGUGGGGAAUAUUGGACAAUGGGCGCAAGCCUGAUCCAGCCAUACCGCGUGGGUGAAGAAGGCCUUCGGGUUGUAAAGCCCUUUUGUUGGGAAGGAAAAGCAGCAGGUUAAUACCCCGCUGUUCUGACGGUACCCAAAGAAUAAGCACCGGCUAACUUCGUG
rnacentral:rRNA from 1 species